GACGAACGCUGGCGGCGUGCUUAACACAUGCAAGUCGAACGGAAAGGCCCUGCUUUUGUGGGGUGCUCGAGUGGCGAACGGGUGAGUAACACGUGAGUAACCUGCCCUUGACUUUGGGAUAACUUCAGGAAACUGGGGCUAAUACCGGAUCGGAGCUCCUGCUGCAUGGUGGGGGUUGGAAAGUUUCGGCGGUUGGGGAUGGACUCGCGGCUUAUCAGCUUGUUGGUGGGGUAGUGGCUUACCAAGGCUUUGACGGGUAGCCGGCCUGAGAGGGUGACCGGCGACAUGGGGACUAAGAUACGGCCCAGACUCCUACGGGAGACAGCAGUGGGGAAUAUUGCACAAUGGGCGGAAGCCUGAUGCAGCAACGCCGCGUGCGGGAUGACGGCCUUCGGGUUGUAAACCGCUUUCGCCUGUGACGAAGCGUGAGUGACGGUAAUGGGUAAAGAAGCACCGGCUAACUACGUG
rnacentral:rRNA from 1 species